ensembl:lncRNA
GUCCCGAGUCACACAACUGUUAGUGUCAAGGCUGAUGACAAACUUUUCUCCUUGAACAUCUCAGGGUGACUUGUCUUGAAUGAUGAGGAAGGUCCAGUUGUACAAGUUCCAUCUGCUGCCCUUACCUGCAACACUCCUUCAAUGGUGAAUGGAACCUCAACUCUCCGGUGACCCCAGCCAUAAACUGGGGAGGCAUUCUGGACUCUUCAGUCCACAUCCAAUUCAUCACUAACCAUGAUAUCCUGCCUCUAAGGACCUCACAGAUCCAUCCUGUUCUCCCCAUCCAUCCUGCAGCUUCUUGAGUUUGAGCAUUACCUGAAUUAUGCAGUAGCCCCUGGUGGGUCUCCCUAGUGCCUCUCCUCAAAUCCCUUUCCCAAAAUGUGGUCAGAGUGAACUU